rnacentral:lncRNA from 1 species
GGGUGCAAGACCUGCCGUGUGGGGACCCUGGGGCGUGUCAGGGACCCAGGUCUGCACGGGCCCCUGUCUUCUGCAGGCAGUAAGUUCUGCCCCAUUUUGAUCCGGCUUGUCACUCAGAGAUGGAACAGGUAAGCCUUAAACCAAGGAGGAAGGGUGGGGGUGGGGGGUUCAAUGUCAGUCCUAGCUGUGAAACUUUAGGCGUCUUAUGGAGCCACGUUGAGCCUCAGUUUCCUCAUUUGUGACCAGGGACUAAUACACCCCACCUGCCUCACCUGGCCACCUGGGCAUCCGAUGAGACGGAUGUUCAUUCUAUACGACCGACCCCGGGCAGACAGAAGAGUUGUUAGUUCAGGCUGAGGGGCAGAGCAGGUGUUACGAGUCGAUGACAAAUGGGUUGUGCCACUGUUGAGUGCUAAGAGCUCCCAGAGCCCCCUUUGAAGGAUGAGGGGUCCCACUUUUGGAAGCCUGCUCUGUGCCAGGCACUCGGGGCAGGGGGGGCAGGCGGUGAGGCUGGUACACCCUCUCCCCAUAGACCCUCACCGUCUAAAGUGGGAGAUGAGGCAGGUAAUGACAAAGGGCUGAUUUCUGUAGCAUGUAAAGUGUUACCACAAAUCAAUACAAGGAUGAAUGGCCCGGUUGAAAAAUGAGGAAAAAAUACGGAAAAGUAAUUCAUAAAAGACUGGCUGAUAAACACUUGGGGGGGAAAAUCAACGUUACUAGUAACAAAAAUGAAAAAGGCAACAAUGAGAUUUUCUUUUUUUUCCUCCCGUUAGAUUAUCAAAAGAUUAGAAAUGUUUCUCGGGAUGCCUGGGUGGCUCAGUCGGUUAAGCGUCUGACUUCGGCGCCGGUCAUGAUCUCACCAUUCAUGGGUCCGAGCCCCGCACGGGGCUCUCUGCUGUCAGUGCAGAAUCUGCUCGGGAUCCUCUGUCUCCCC